GGGUUGUGAGGUUAAGCGACUAAGCGUACACGGUGGAUGCCCUGGCAGUCAGAGGCGAUGAAGGACGUGCUAAUCUGCGAUAAGCGCCGGUAAGGUGAUAUGAACCGUUAUAACCGGCGAUUUCCGAAUGGGGAAACCCAGUGUGAUUCGUCACACUAUCGUUAACUGAAUACAUAGGUUAACGAAGCGAACCGGGGGAACUGAAACAUCUAAGUACCCCGAGGAAAAGAAAUCAACCGAGAUUCCCCCAGUAGCGGCGAGCGAACGGGGAGGAGCCCAGAGCCUGAAUCAGCAUGUGUGUUAGUGGAAGCGUCUGGAAAGGCGCGCGAUACAGGGUGACAGCCCCGUACACAAAAGCGCAUGUGCUGUGAGCUCGAUGAGUAGGGCGGGACACGUGGUAUCCUGUCUGAAUAUGGGGGGACCAUCCUCCAAGGCUAAAUACUCCUGACUGACCGAUAGUGAACCAGUACCGUGAGGGAAAGGCGAAAAGAACCCCGGCGAGGGGAGUGAAAAAGAACCUGAAACCGUGUACGUACAAGCAGUGGGAGCCCCACCACCAAAGCAUUCUCUGGUGUUGAAGGCCCUGCAAAGCAGCAUCGCGGUGGCGGAGCGUCGUUUGCGACGCCCAACACACAAAACAAGCGGUGAGUGCUUUGGGGUGGGGUGACUGCGUACCUUUUGUAUAAUGGGUCAGCGACUUAUAUUCUGUAGCAAGGUUAACCGUAUAGGGGAGCCGAAGGGAAACCGAGUCUUAACUGGGCGUUAAGUUGCAGGGUAUAGACCCGAAACCCGGUGAUCUAGCCAUGGGCAGGUUGAAGGUUGGGUAACACUAACUGGAGGACCGAACCGACUAAUGUUGAAAAAUUAGCGGAUGACUUGUGGCUGGGGGUGAAAGGCCAAUCAAACCGGGAGAUAGCUGGUUCUCCCCGAAAGCUAUUUAGGUAGCGCCUCGUGAACUCAUCUUCGGGGGUAGAGCACUGUUUCGGCUAGGGGGUCAUCCCGACUUACCAACCCGAUGCAAACUGCGAAUACCGAAGAAUGUUAUCACGGGAGACACACGGCGGGUGCUAACGUCCGUCGUGAAGAGGGAAACAACCCAGACCGCCAGCUAAGGUCCCAAAGUCACAGUUAAGUGGGAAACGAUGUGGGAAGGCUCAGACAGCCAGGAUGUUGGCUUAGAAGCAGCCAUCAUUUAAAGAAAGCGUAAUAGCUCACUGGUCGAGUCGGCCUGCGCGGAAGAUGUAACGGGGCUAAACUGUGCACCGAAGCUGCGGCAGCGA
rnacentral:rRNA from 1 species